rnacentral:rRNA from 1 species
AGAGUUUGAUCCUGGCUCAGGAUGAACGCUAGCGGCAGGCUUAACACAUGCAAGUCGAGGGGCAUCGGGAGGGAAGCUUGCUUUCCUUGCCGGCGACCGGCGCACGGGUGAGUAACACGUAUGCAACCUGCCCUCUUCAGGGGGACAACCUUCCGAAAGGGAGGCUAAUCCCGCGUAUAUCGGUUUCGGGCAUCCGGGAUCGAGGAAAGAUUCAUCGGAAGAGGAUGGGCAUGCGGCGCAUUAGCUGGACGGCGGGGUAACGGCCCACCGUGGCGACGAUGCGUAGGGGUUCUGAGAGGAAGGUCCCCCACACUGGUACUGAGACACGGACCAGACUCCUACGGGAGGCAGCAGUGAGGAAUAUUGGUCAAUGGGAGAGAUCCUGAACCAGCCAAGCCGCGUGAGGGAAGACGGCCCUAUGGGUUGUAAACCUCUUUUGUCGGAGAACAAAACCCGGGACGUGUCCCGGACUGCGUGUAUCCGAAGAAAAAGCAUCGGCUAACUCCGUGCCAGCAGCCGCGGUAAUACGGAGGAUGCGAGCGUUAUCCGGAUUUAUUGGGUUUAAAGGGUGCGUAGGCGGUCCGUUAAGUCAGCGGUAAAAUUGCGGGGCUCAACCCCGUCGAGCCGUUGAAACUGGCAGACUUGAGUUGGCGAGAAGUACGCGGAAUGCGCGGUGUAGCGGUGAAAUGCAUAGAUAUCGCGCAGAACUCCGAUUGCGAAGGCAGCGUACCGGCGCCAGACUGACGCUGAGGCACGAAAGCGUGGGGAUCGAACAGGAUUAGAUACCCUGGUAGUCCACGCAGUAAACGAUGAAUGCUGGUUGUCCGGGUCGAAUGAGAUCUGGGCGGCGAAGCGAAAGCGAUAAGCAUUCCACCUGGGGAGUACGCCGGCAACGGUGAAACUCAAAGGAAUUGACGGGGGCCCGCACAAGCGGAGGAACAUGUGGUUUAAUUCGAUGAUACGCGAGGAACCUUACCCGGGCUCAAACGCAGGCUGACGGGUCCCGAAAGGGGCCUUUCUUCGGACAUUCUGCGAGGUGCUGCAUGGUUGUCGUCAGCUCGUGCCGUGAGGUGUCGGCUUAAGUGCCAUAACGAGCGCAACCCCUGUCCACAGUUGCCAGCAGGUAAAGCUGGGGACUCUGUGGAGACUGCCGGCGCAAGCUGCGAGGAAGGCGGGGAUGACGUCAAAUCAGCACGGCCCUUACGUCCGGGGCGACACACGUGUUACAAUGGCAGGUACAGCGGGAUGCCACGGGGCGACCCGGCGCUGAACCCGAAAACCUGUCUCAGUUCGGAUUGGAGUCUGCAACCCGACUCCAUGAAGCUGGAUUCGCUAGUAAUCGCGCAUCAGCCACGGCGCGGUGAAUACGUUCCCGGGCCUUGUACACACCGCCCGUCAAG